UGAGAUAGCUCAGUCAGUAGGGCAUGAGACUCUUGAUUUCAGGGCCGUGGCUUCGAGUCCCACAUGGGGCAAAA